UGGCGUGUAGCUCAGUAGGUAGUAGCAACUGACUGUUAAUCAGUAGGUCACUGGUUCGAGCCCAGUCACGCCAGCCA
rnacentral:tRNA from 1 species